rnacentral:lncRNA from 1 species
ACGCCAUCGGCAGGUUGAGUGUAGACUGUAACCCUAUACCGUAGCUCUUACUCAUUGAAGAAAUAUCUGCAACAUGAUACAUUGCAGCCAUGUAGGUCAGUACAUUGAAUGUACCGACAAGAUCACUGUAAGAAAAAUAGAUUAUAAGACUAUACUAUAUGCAAUAUGGCUUUGUGGCUCUGUGUCUGAGUUUUGUUUGCGUAAAAGCUGCUUUUAUUUUCCGUACCUCAAAGGAAUAACAUGAGUCUGUACUACAGAGUUUUCUAUCUUGACAUGGUUCCGCCAACCGAUGUGCAUAGCCCAAAUCAUCAUAAGUUGCCCACAAUCAGUCCGGUGUUGAGAGUUCCGAGAUAGAUCCAAGUCCAGAUGCUCAAGUUGUUCGUAACUGGGAACAUGGCUAAUCGAUUAGGUUUUAACCCUCUGCAGAGGUUUGUACACUUUACCCGCAAGAUUUGAUCCCUCUUUUUACAUUCUCGCACUUCAGGGUGUUUGAGAACAAGACGACCAAAGCAUUGUCUUUCGGAGAGUUCCCCUGACCACUAUCCGGCGCUUAUCCAAUCCUACCGUAGUUCUACAUCUGCUAGCAUCGUCCCAGGCAGAGUCACAACUAAGGUCAACCAAGCCAUAGCCCAUAGUUACUUGCAGUUGCAUAGGUAAGCUUCCAGGCAUGAAAUAUUCUUCCGUCUCUUUGAGUCUGGGUGAAGCUUUCCGCAAGAUGUCAUGGCGCUUCUCCAUGCAUCCCGGCCAUCCACUGGUUUAUCUAGGGUGCCUGUCAACCGUCCUUCACCCAGUAGUGUGUAUUCAAUUCUAUUCUCGAGUCCUGAGGUCUUGAGGCCUUGAAGAUGCAGUCCUUGCAGAUUCCAUCAUGGAGUUGUUGUCAUUAACGUAGAGUCCUCCUUCACACCACUCUCGUGCACUCAUACCAAACCCCGUCUACUAUAGCGUAGCAUUAAAACUAUAUAACAUCCCAGGCUGGUAACAGGGAGAUGGGUUCCUACCUCAUGCAUUCUACUCAACUACAAGAUUCAAUAACACUACUGGAGGAAUUGUUGCAAAUAUGACACUAAAUGCAAUAAAAACAUAGGUAUGAAAAGCAUGGUCAAAGUGAACUUGCCUGAUAUUACUUGAUGAAGAUUGUAACGCUCUCAGAAAAUAACUUGAUAAUAUCCAUCACUCCGAUGUAAAUCUAUAUUAAACAUGCAUGGCAUUCACAUAAGCAAGCCUUCUACCAAGCAAUUCUAACAAUCAUUAAAGAAAUCAAAAUGUAAUGCAUCAAAUAAAAUCAAUAAAGAAAAUCAAUAAUAGAAACCAAAAUAAAAGUCCAAGAAGAACUUCAAAGAAAACCACGAGAAAAACUUCCAAGGAAAAGUCUAAGACUUUACUACAAACAAUAAAAAUAGCUUUUGACUUAUAUUAAACUAAAAAAAUUAAUAAAUCUCUAAACUAAUAAAUUAACAGGAAAGAAAAAUGAAAACAACUAACUUAACAGAAAGUAUUUUUCAUAAAAUUUUACUAGCAAAAAGAAACACAUAAAAAGCUUCUGUAAAACUCUGUUUAUACCCUAUGCAAGUUUUCAUGCAAAACUAAAGAAAAUAAAAUUUUAAAAUAAGAACAAAAUUUUCUACUGUUUAAUAAGAGAAACAAAACUAAAUUUGUCAAAAGUGACAAAAAGUUAAAAACAUUUUAAAAACCAUAGGAAAUGAAAAUAACACUAAACUAUGUAAAAUAGUGUUGUUUUGCCUAAAACCCUAAUUUAAAAUAAACAAAAACUAAUUUGCAAAAGUCUACUAUUUAGAUAAAAGAUCAAGUGAUCACUAGCAAAAAGAAUUAAUCAAAAAGCUAUUUUAAAUCAAAAGUUAUUAGCAAUCUAGUGUUUGUAACAAAUCUGUUUGAAUAAAAAGUUCAAAAAUAAUUUUCGUUGGUUUCUCUGGAUAGACGAGAUUUUUGUGAAAUCGUAGGAAAAAUAAUCAUCAAAAUCGGAGUUGUGGAUCGAACAAUAUAAAAAAACAAAACUGAAUCUAAAAUUAAAAAUAGAAACGAACAACAACAACAACAACAACAACAAAAAAUCGUGCACUAGCUACGUAGCGGGCUGUAACUGGGCCUAAGGGGUGUGCGUUCUGUACUAAGCUACUCUCGGGCGUAUUAUAACUGAACCGCUAACACACGUACAAUUAAAAUAAACGGCGUACCGGUUCGAUCUAAUCGAAGAAAACCGAUCUACAAAAACAAACCGACCUACUAAACCGAUCAAAUAUUAUUUGCACUUAACAUUUCGAAAAAAACAGAGGGAGGCGCUCGUUGUUGUUGCUUACAGAGAGGUUGGCGCUCACAGGGAAGUAGGGCGCCGACGGGGUGGUGGCUCCGGACGCCGGCGGUGGAGGCGGCGAUGUCCAGCGGGUGC